rnacentral:lncRNA from 10 species
GGUUUCACCAUGUUGGCCAGGAUGGUCUCGAUCUCCUGACCUCGUGAUCCACCCUCCUCGGCCUCCCAAAGUGCUGGGAUUACAGGCGUGAGCCACUGCGCCCGGCCUGAAUUCUUUAACUAGCUAUGAUUGUCUAUGUGACUCAAAUAACACUUAUAUACUGUGAUGUAAAGUUAGUGUUUUACACACAUAUGUUUAAAUCUCUAACGAGAUAAUGUAUUUCUUAUGAUCUGAAACCUAGUUUUAUAUCCUUCUUACUGCUCCCUUCCCACUGUGGUGGUUAGUACAAAUCUGGCCCCAUGUCAGGUGCUCAAAGAUUACUUGAUACGUUAUUUGACGAUUUCAGAAGAUUCCAUGAAGCUCAUCACCAGCUGCCUGGAAUUUGAAUGUGGUAUCUGGAGCUUCAGUAGUCAUCCAGGACUGUAAGUGUGAAAGCCAUGCACUGAGAGUGGUGGAACAGAAGCCCUGUUUUCUUUAGACGCUGACUCCUGCUGUCUACCAGAUCCUCGUGGUACAAUGACUGGUGUAGACUGGCUUGUUGAAGUCACUCUCUGGAUCUGAGCAACGCUGGCUGAGCCGUGAUGAAGUAUUCCUAUCCAUCCACUAUGCUUCACAGUGGGAAUCUCUCACUGUUCAUCACCGCUGCCCUAGCAGCCGCAGGGAUUCUUCACCCAUGGUUGCUUAGGUUUAUAAGCAAGGAAGCUGAAUGAAGUCCCUUUCCUCUCUGGAUGAGCCCCUGGGUUUCUGGAAGAGUCUUAAAAUCACCCCUAAAUGGCUUCCAAGCACUGAAGCCCGAGAUGUUAGCUGGCCUGUGUGAGGCCUUGAGACAGAAUGCCACAGCCACACCCCAAGGAUGCUGAAGGGGAUUUCCCUCCUCUGUGGUUUUUCUCCUUUCUUCCCGCAGCACUCCUCCUACGUGCUAACAUCUUCUAGUCAAACAACUCUCCUUUUCAAAGGGACCAGGCACAGUUUCUGCUUAUCCCUGAGUAGCAGUGUUCAGUUUCCUGCCAGCCUGUGGAGUUUUUCAAACAAGCCAAUCACCUCCUCCUGUGGGAACUGAGAAGCACCCCACCCUCUCGAUACUACAAAGCCCCUGCUUGUUCCCUAGUGCAACUCCCAUGUGGUCCUGUGGAGCAUAUGGUAUCUUCCUCUUCUGGGCAGUGAGCAUAUGUGACUAAUAAACUAUCUAUCUCAUCUGUUCAGUGCCAGGUGUCAUUUGUUCUGCCAUCCCAUGACCUAGGGUGGGGAUUCCUUCCACACCAACAGGGUGAAUGCAAGGUGAUUAAAACAAGAAGCCUCUUCAGGAUCUAUAUCCUAGGGAAAAAAUUAAACAACAACAACAAAACAAGAAGCUUCAACUCUGACCCUGUAUUCCAGAUGUGUUACAGGGGCCUGUCUCCCCAGAGCCACUCUCCAGGUCAGAGCUUACCUCCCCUUGCUCAGGGUUAGGAGCUCUGGGCAGGAAAAGGACAUCAUGUUAAAA